UACAGAGGUCUCAAGCGUUGUUGGAUUCAUUGGGCGUAAAGGGUGCGUAGGUGGCGCUGUAAGUCAGGUGUGAAAUUUCGGAGCUUAACUCCGAAACUGCAUUUGAUACUGCGGUGCUUGAGGACUGGAGAGGAGACUGGAAUUUACGGUGUAGCAGUGAAAUGCGUAGAGAUCGUAAGGAAGACCAGUGGCGAAGGCGGGUCUCUGGACAGUUCCUGACACUGAGGCACGAAGGCCAGGGGAGCAAACGGG
rnacentral:rRNA from 1 species